GCAUCCUGAACUUGUUGAGGUCUUUUCUUUACACAGUGACAGUUCUGAGAAGCCUUCAGCCUCCUCGUGCCCUGUCACAUGUAGCUCUCCGUAGUCUUCAGCUGGCAGACCUGGGCUCGGAAAUCAGACUCCUGGGUCCUGCCGGAGACUCUGCCGCUGGCUCUCCGGGUCACCUGGGUGGAAAAGGAUUAAGAUGUGAUGUCGACAAUUUAGGGAGAAACUGUUGUGCAUUCUUGAUCCGUAACCCACUGGGACCUGGCUAGAAACAUGAAGGAACUGACCUGACUCACAGCUUUGCAAGAUUGAAACCACUGCUGGAUUGUAAGCAUCUAGAGGCCCUCCCCAGUACCAUGAACUACACUACAGAGCGCUCAAGGGACGGAGCCGUGGACAAGGUUGUGGAAGUCGCGAGCCUCUGGAGCACAUUACCAAGAGGAGAAAGGGUUGAGUCUCCUACAUCGACAAUUUUUAAGAUUUUUAAGGAAUUCA